rnacentral:rRNA from 1 species
AUUGAACGCUGGCGGCAUGCCUAAUACAUGCAAGUCGAGCGAGCGGCGGACGGGUGAGUAAUGUGUGGGAAACUGCCUGAUGGAGGGGGAUAACUAUUGGAAAAGGUAGCUAAUACCGCAUACUAUCAGAUGUGCUCAGAUGGGAUUAGCUAGUUGGUGUGGUUACGGCUCACCAAGGCGACGAACCCUAGCUGGUCUGAGAGGCUGACCAGCCACACUGGAACUGAGACACGGUCCAGACUCCUACGGGAGGCAGCAGUGGGGAAUCUUGCGCAAUGGGCGCAAGCCUGAUGCAGCCAUGCCGCGUGUGUGAAGAAGGUCUUCGGAUUGUAAAAUACUUUUAUCAGGGAGGCGUUACCCGCAGAAGAAGCACCGGCUAACUCCGUGCCAGCCGCCGCGGUAAUAC